CCAUCAACUUCCGAGAGACCACAAAGGCUCUAGGCUCCUCUGUAUCCCAGACUCUGGCCACCAGCGGGCACACACUGUGGGUUUGCUGGGGGAAACGAGGCAUGCGGGCACUUUCCAGGAGGAGAUAAGCUAAGGAGAGCACGGGUUUGAAAGAUGAGGAUCGGGUGGGGGAGGAGAGAUGCCAUCUCAUAUUCCAGCAGAAGGCAGAGACCCAAGGGUUCCCUCGCUGUUUCGGAAGGAGAAACUAAGGUACCGACGCCAGGCGUGUGUUUGAGCUGAAGAGUCGAGCCCCACCCUCCAGCCCAGAUGGGCAGUGCCACUGCUCAGCCAGCUGCUCUGGAAGAUGUAAAGUGCUAUCUAAACACGGUGCAUUAUAAACACUUUAGAAAUCGUAUUUCACAGCUGCCCGCCCGGAGCUGGAAGAUGAAUUCCUCCUCCUGCUCUCUGGCAGCAGAAUUAUCCUUGGAGCUCAACGCGGCAGCAAUGAUAUGUGAGUGGGGCCAGGACGGAGCAGGCCACGGUGGAAGACGCAUCAUCGGAGCAUCCUACAGACCAACCUCCAUGCCAUUUAAACUAGGCAUGCUUCACAGCACGCCCGAAGACUACAAGGAUGACUGGACCACAGAACGUCACAGAUUCAGGGAACUUGACUUCCAGAGACCUUCUUGAAAAGAAAACAUGAAACACGUCCAGGAAACAGGAGAGUGUUCAGCUGGAGGAGGAGCACAAAAGGCAGAGGACAGAAAACAGGCUUGACUGGAGCAGGUUCAAGGGGACCAAACCGGGAGGCAGCGGUAAGAGAUGCUUCACCUGAUACCCAGCUAAAAGGCACAAGACCACAGACUGGCUUCGCCAGGCCUGGGACGAGAACCGGAAGUGCUCGGCGAGUGGUAAUAUACUACCACCAAUCGUCUGUCAGACAUCGUUUUUACGAAGGCUGCACCCACACAGCCGAGGCGUCCUGAAAACUCACCGGGCUUGACUGAGACGAAUCUCCAUUACCAGACAGUGGAAUAUCCUUAGCCAGGAAUUAUGCCAAUGGUCAUCUGAGCCAUAUGAUCCCCAGACCCCCACUCUCCACCCCAGGCAGGUUAGCAUUUCCAGCCCACAUUACGCAACGCGUCCGAGUUCCUUUGCAUUAUCCGAAGAGGGCUGGGAUUUUAGCAGAACUCUGUCUCGGUGCCUCCUUCAGCCAAUGCUGAUUCCACAGCAGGCACCGAGUGCAGCUUAAUCAGAUGAGGAAACAACGCAGGCAAGGACUUCUAAUUCAGGCUGUACUGCAGCUUCCAGGCGUCAAUCCUAGCUUUUCCUCGGGGGUCACGUAAAACGAAUCUAAUUCUCUUCCACAUGAUAGUCCUUUAAGUAUGAGAGGCGAGUUAUGACAUUCCCCCCGAGUCUCCUUUACCUCUGACCAGAGAUCCUUCAUCUCUAACGCUGCUGCUGCUCCCACAGGCACCUCCCUGUAAACACACUGCAUCUUCUCUCUCGACCCCAGAUGGACACUGCUCAACUCUCUGGACCCCAGACGGACACUGCUCAAUCCAUAACCUCGGCUCUCCUCAUAAGCAAAAGCACCCUGGCAGAACUGGGUACAUAAUCCCCCGUCCCACACAAGAACAUCUCACUAAGGUCACUGGGGAUGGAGCUCCUCAGCGGGUAACGCUAGCCCAUCUUAGUCCUCCUCUUAUUGGGGUGGGUCGUUACCUAAUUUUCCAUGCCUAGAUCUGGAUCGGGAUUUGCACGGGCCAGGCACGCGUGUGCUCUACUGUUGAGCCCACCCCUAGUCCUUAGCCAUCUUGCCUCAUGGGCCACAAUAGAACUUUCUAGUUGAAAGCAGGAGCUUUCCUCACAGGUCCUGCAGGACCCACACACAUGGUUUUUCUGUGACUGCCUACCCUCUGGUAUUUCCUCUUCACUUUUGGGGUUAUAAUAUAAUUACAUCACUUCUGCCUUCCUUUUCUUCCCAUAUACCUUGUUGCUGGCUUUCAAAGUUAUGUUCCGCCCCUCUCCACCGACUGCGGUUACAUGUGCAUGUGUGUGACACAUAUACUCCUAAAUAUAACCGUCCAGUCUGUAUAUUACGUGCAUGUUUUCAGGGCUGGCCAUUUGCCAUCAGACAAACAAGCAGUGUGCUCUUCCCUGGGGAAGAGCAUUUCUCCAGCUCAGCAUCCUUUGGUCCUCUGCUGAGGCAUCCUGGGCGUGCUUCUAUUCACAUUAGCAAGCCAGUUGUUGCCCUUGUUCAGCACUCAUGCUGGUGAGGCUCCAUGGGGGGAGCUUCUGACAUUCCCAGGAAACAUGAUCUCAUGGCAAAACUCCCUGUUCUUAGCCACCCCUCUUCCAUAAGCAUCCUUGAGCCUUCAGUUCUGGAGCUGUAUUAUAGGUGUUCCCAUUGGAACUGGGCCCCGCCACUUCUCAUCUUGAUUACCCAUGGUUUUCUGCCUGUUACGAAGAGUUUCCUUGAUAAGGGGUGAGGACUACACUGAUCUGUGUGUUUCCAGGGUUUUGCUUUGGGCCUGUCUGUGGCGAACUCAUUUAAUCAUACGGUCUGUGCAUACAUUUGUACAUAUUUGUGCAUGUAUGAAUGCAUGCAGUUGUGGUGGAGGUCAGAGGUCGACAUUGGGUUUAUUUUUUUGAGACGGGGUCUUUCACUAAACCCGCAACUUACAUAUUCACAAGACUAGCUGGCCAGCAAAACCUAAGGAUCCUCCUGCCACCUGACCCUCCAGCACUAGGAUGACAUGUUUCCACUACUAUGCCUGGCUUUUUCCAUGGGUACUAAGGAUCUAAAUUCAGUCAUAUUUGUGUGGCAAGCAUUUUACUGACUGAGCAGUCUCCCCAGCCUUUAGUGACAUGACUUUAAACAUGUGUUCUGGUGUCCUAUCUCUGCUCAGAACACCCCCUCAAGACCUAGAUGCAUCUAUUAAAUGGCCUAUUUAACAUCCCUCCUUGGGUAUCUAAUUAGUAUCUCACACUUAACUAACGAAGCUCCUGGGCUGGAGAUACAGUUCAGUGGUAGAAUAUAUGCUUGGCACAUAAGAUGCCCUGGAUUUCAUCCCCCAAAGUGAAACUGAGCCUCUGGUUUUCACCCUGACCCUAUACUGUCAGUACAUAACAAUUUCACUCCUCCAGAACUUAAAGCAAAACAUAUCACCCGAGUCCUAUUUCUUUCUUGCCUAGUACCCAAACCACCAGUCAAUAGUGGUAGUUCUAAGUUCAAAGUAACUCUAGAGAUGGGUACCUGAUGCUAGCCACCAUUUCAUGCCAAGACAGCUAGAGUAGCCAUGGAGACCCCACUCCUUCCUUCCUAGGUUCACUCUUAACAUAGCAGCCAGAAUAACUGUUCAAACAGAAAUUCUAACAUGUGGCUCCUCUGCCUACUUCAUCCCUCCCCCGACCCACAGAUGGCUUCUGAUAUUGUUGAGAAGCCAUGGUCCUGAGAAUUCCUUCAAAGCCUGCUCUUAAAAAGCUUGUCUGGUCUUCAUUCUAGUUCCAAGCUCUAAGGACUUCGGAGUGACAGGAGUAGUUUUGCUACUCAUGCUAGACCCACAGAUGGUUUUUUGUUUGUUUGUUUUCGUUUGGUUUGGUUUUUGCUUGUUUGAGACAGAGUCUCAUGUAGCCCAAAAUGAUCUGAACUAGCUAUAAAGCUAAGGACAACCCCGAACUCCUAAGCCUCCCACUUCUGCUCAAGUGUUGGGAUUACAGGAGUGUGCCAUUGUGCCCAGCUCCACACCUGGGUUAAUGCUAGGGAGGCUAGAGGCUGCAAACUCAACUGAGAAACUCCAGUAAACACCCCAGACACUCAGGGCUCCAGAAGCUUCUAGUUACUGAAUGCAUGACUUGUGGAGGAUGUUAGUCUUGAUUCCUCAAGCAGAGGACAUGGCAGCUCCAUCUGAAACCUUCUCAGAUCUCUAUGGCAGGUCUCUUUGAAAACCGUACGACUUUUCCGAACUCUGUGAGACAUUCGUGAAGUUAUCAAAUCCAAUAGGGUCGUGGCAGCUCCUGAACUUGAGACUGGCAUUCGAAGUGCAGGGAAUUUUGCUGGGCCAUGUUCUGCACUGUGUGAAAUCUGCCCUGUGUCCAAGGUGAUGAGGGUCAGAAAUGGGCUGUGGCACUGAAGACAUGGCCUGCACUGCACGCUGCUUUACGAACCCACACCGCACCCUCCACAGCCAUUGUUUCCCUCGAUUCACCACACCCGUGUCAGCUUUUGCUCAGCUACACCAGGCACAUUCCUGCGUCUCACCUGUGCCUUUCUCUCCUCUGGAUCUUUCCUAAGUUGCUGCUUUCUGAGUAAGCUCUCCAGCCCAUUAUGGUUUGGAUCGUAUGUUAUGGUUUGCUCUUCCCAAAGCCCAUGCACUAAAGGCUGGAUGAUGCUGUCGGGAGACGGUGAGAUCUUCAGGCGGGUGAGGUGACUGGGAUUCUGCUCUUUCCUCUCUCUGCUUCCUGGCUGCUGUGAGAUAAGCAGCUUGGUUCUGCCACACACUCUCCACUAAGAUGUUCUGCUUCACCACCAAAGCAAUGGGGCCAAGCAACUGCGGACUAAAGUCACGGGCCAGGAUAAACCUUUCCUCCUUAUAGGUUGCUCAAAUAUUUGUUACAGCCACAGAAAUUUGACUGAUUUAAACUGUCGACCAGCUUUGCCACAUCCUAGACUCCCCUCCUACUGCUUGAUUGUUCUCCAUGACCCUUACCACUGCUCCUAUUGUAACUGAGUAUUCAUAUUGUAAUUAUUAAUUUAUCUACUGGAUCUUUCCUUUAUAGAUCUAAGAGGUGGGCAUUUUCUUUUCCUGUUUUAGUUAUUACUGUCAACACAGCACUUAGAAAAUACAUCAGGAGAUUUAAAGCGUUAAAUGGAUAAAUUAGAUUGUUAAAGCUU